rnacentral:rRNA from 1 species
CCUACGGGAGGCAGCAGUGAGGAAUAUUGGUCAAUGGACGAGAGUCUGAACCAGCCAAGUAGCGUGAAGGAUGACUGCCCGAUGGGUUGUAAACUUCUUGUAUAUGGGAAUAAAAUGUGCCACGUGUGGGAUUUUGUAUGUACCAUAUGAAUAAGGAUAGGCUAACUCCGUGCCAGCAGCCGCGGUAAUACGGAGGAUCCGAGCGUUAUCCGGAUUUAUUGGGUUUAAAGGGAGCGUAGGUGGAUUGUUAAGUCAGUGUUGAAAGUUUGCGGCUCCACCGUAAAAUUGCAGUUUAAACUUGCAGUCUUUAGUACAGUAGAGGUGGGCGGACUUCGUUGUGUCGCCG